CAACUGGUUUCUCUUCAGAUCGAACAAAUCUUUCGCCUUUUACUAAAGAUUUCCGUGGAGAAAAACAAAUCAGUUUUCACCUAAUUUUUUGAUACCUUGCUUUAGCAAGGUG